UUCAUUGCAGUAGAAGAGACCGUGAAGCCAAAGGUGACCAAGAAGGCACCUACUAGUGCCUCCAAGUCCAACAAGCGGAAGAAAACCAAGGACCUCUCCGAAUCAGAAGAAGAGGACGAUGACGAGGCUGAGGAUGAGAGUGAAGAUGAUGAGGACGGUGAUGCGAGGGGUUCAAAGGGCAAGCGUGGCCGCAAACCAUCGCGUAGGGGCACAGGCAGGGGAGUUAUUGUGUUAUGUAAAUCUGGGAGAUGUAUUAUGUGAUGUUAUAUGAUGGAUGAUUUUAAUUUGAUUUGGAGUUUUCUUGAUUUGAAU
rnacentral:lncRNA from 1 species